ensembl:lncRNA
UAAGUUUGGGAGGAGGAUAUGGGAGCCCAGAGGGUGGAGGGUCCCGGAGGCACUGCUUGAGUGAAAUGCGGAGCUUUUGGUGGAUUUGGAACAGAGCACAAGAGUAGCAUGAACUGACUUGGGUUUCAGUCAGUCUAGCUUCUGUCGAGGACACACUAUUGGAAGCAAGAAUAGAGGCAAGGAGAAUAGACAGGAGACUUGCUCUGGGUAUGAGAUAUGGACAAAUGUGGGAGACAGGAAGAUUCUGUUUGUAUUUUGAAGGCAGAGCAAAUAGGAUUUGUUGAUAGAUUAGAUAUGGGGGGAGGGUGUAAAAGAAAGGGUGAUGAGAUGAUUCCAAGGUGUUUGGCCCAAGUAACUGGAAGAAUGGUGUUACCAUCAGCCAAGACAGGGAACAGGAUCCAGGAGACAACCAGAGUUCAGUCUAGGGCAUGUUGAGUGUGAGAUGCCUGUUAUAUUUCUGGAUUUAACUGAUUGUCUAAUCUGAGGGAAGCCCCUUAACUUCUCUAGGCUUCAUCUGCAAAAUGAGACAUUUGGGCCAGAAAAACUUCAAAGUCCCUCCAACAUUUAUUUGAUUCUAAAUUUCACUUAGCUAAGUUGAUUUUGUGCUGUAUUUUAGAGUAAAUUUUAGUUUUGCAAUUUGAAACAGGGAGGUCAGAGUAAGCCUCGUUGGAAAAAUCACUUUUAGACAAAGGAAAUAUAGAAGCUAACCAUGAAAGAGUGUUCCAUGCUGAGAAAAGCACCUGUGCAUGGGUCCUGAGGUGAGAAAACAGAGACGUUGAACAAGCUAUCCAAGUUAAAUAACCUGCACGGAUUUGAGCCAAGAGAGCUGAUAAAUAGAAGAGAACACAGAAGAUAAAACCACUGUAAAUGCUGUUCUAAAGGCACUGUGCUUCAUAGAGUGCAGGAAAUUUGAAAGAGAAAUCUUAUCAAAGAUGACGGAGCUGCUGAGAUUGUUAGUACCCUGGUGUGUGCCACAGGGGAAAGUGAUUGAAGGAAAUUCUCUGAGCCUAGCACCUGCAGGCUGCCCUGGGUUAGAUCACAUCUCUUCUAUUUUAAAACAUACUUAAGAGGGAACAAAAUCUUGACCAUGGCUUACGUGGCCUUGCGUGAUUUGGGCCCCUGUACACUUUUUCACUAUAAACACUUAUAUUUUUGUUUGCUUUGUUUUGGUUACCCAGCCCUUGGAAUACUCUCCUUAGCUUGGGGAAUUCAUGACCAUUCCAGAUCUUGCCUCUCUGUUGAAGGCGUACAGCUUUUCCAGCUCCUCUUUUUAUCAAGGUCAGAAACUACAUCAAAUGUGAAUGACUGAAGAACUGGCAAUGUUUAACCUGUGGGAGAGGGGACUUUGGUGGGGGUGGGUGGGUGAGUGAAGGAAACCAUUGAUGGAGACCUCUCCAAAUAUUUGGAGAGCCGGCAAAUGAAAGAAUGCUGUGACUCAAGAGCAGAAAUCAGGAGUGGAGGAGGAGAAGUCAGGGGAGAAAAAGUGAGAUAGCCAAGCGGUGGGAAAACAGCUCCAAACAUAUUCUCCAAAACGAUUACUUCUAUAAAAAUUUUUUUUAUUAACUUUCUUGAGGAUAUAGUUUCCAUAUAAUACUAUCUUCAGUGUACAUUUUUAAGAAUUUGACAAACGAAUUUCACCCAUGUAACUAAUAAAGAUACCACACAUUUCUAUCACCCCACAAAGUUCAUUUUUGCUGCAUUCAAAUCACCCACUCCUGCCCCCUCCCCUAGCUUACCACUGAUCUGAUACUGGUUACUAAAUCUAGAAUUUCAUAUAAUGUAAUCAUACAUUUAAUGUCUGGCUUCUUUUACUGGGCACAGUGUUUCUGAGAUUCAUUACUGUUGUAGCAUGUAUUUGUUCAUUUCUAUUAAUCUCUCUUUAUAGUAGUAGUAGUACGUGAGUCUGAGUGAACUCCAGGAGUUGGUGAUGGACAGGGAGGCCUGGUGUGCUGCGAUUCAUGGGGUCGAAAAUAGUCGGACAUGACUGAGCGACUGAACUGAACUGAACUGAUAGUAGUAGUCUAUUGAGGAGCUAUACCAAAUUCGUUCAUCCAUUCAUUUGUUGAUGGACAUUUGGCUUGUUUUCAAAUGUUUGUUAUCUUGAAGCUGCCAUAACCAUUCAUGUACAAAUGUUUGUGUGGACAACUAUUUUCAUUUCUCUUGGGUAAAUAAUGAGUGAAAUUGCUAGGUUACAUGGUUAGUGCAUAUUUAACUUUUCAAGAAAUUGCCAAGCUUCUUGCUAAAAUAUUUUACAUUCCUCCCAACAAUGCAUUAGAUUUCCAGUUGCUCCAUACCCUUGCUGACAUUUAGUGUUUUAAGUCUUUAAAUUGGAGCCCUCUCAUUGGCCUUUGGUGUCUAUCAUCACAGCUUGAAUUUGCACUUCCUGAAUGACUAAUGAUUUUGGAUGCUGAGCAUUUUUUCAUGUGUUUAUUUGUUGUUCCCAUAGCUUCUUUGGUGAAAUGUCAGUUAAAAUCUUUUCCCCAUUUUUCAUGAGUUGUUUAAGAGCUGCAACAUUCUUUAUAUUGUCUGAAUAGAACUCCUUUAUCAGGAUUGUUUUACCAAUAUUUUAUCAAAAACCAUGGUUUGAAUUUCUUAGCAGUCAUUUUAAGAGAAGAAGUUUUUAAUUUAAUGAAGUCCAGUUUAAGCUCUUUAUUUUUUGGUUCAUGCUUUUUGCAUCCUAUCUGAAAGAAUCUUUGUCUAACUAAAGGUCACAAAGAUUUUCUUCCAGAUGUCUUAUUAUUUUAGCUCUUACACUUUGAUCUCAUGUCUAAUUCUUAUGUGGGCUUCAGUUGUGUCCAACUCUUUGUGACCCUAUGGACUGUAGCCUACCAGGCUCCUCUGCCCAUGGGAUUUUCCUGGCAAGGAUACUGGAAUGGAUUACCAUGCCCUCCUCCAAGGGAUCUUCCUGAUCUAGGGGUUGAACCCAUGUCUCCUAUAUUGCAGGCAGAUUGCUAACCAUUGAGCCCCUGGGGAAACCCGUCUGAUUCUUACCCUGGCACCAUAAUCUUGAUUAAUGUAACUUUAUAGUAAAUCUUGAAACAGGUAGUAUAGCUCCUCAACUUUGUUCUUCAUUUUUCAAAAUUGGUUUUCCUGUUUUAUUUUUUUUUUUUUUGCAUUUCCAUAUAAAAUUUAUAAUCAGCCUAAUUUUUAAACAAAAAAGUUUUCUGGGGUUUUGCUCGACAUUGAAUCUACAAAUAAAUUUGAGGAAAAUUGACAUCUUAAUAUUGAUAAAUAAUAUUGAACAUAGUAUAUCUAAUUGUGAAGGCCUUCCUUAAUUUUCUUAGCAGUCUUUUUAUUUUUCAGUUUUUAAGUCUAGAACAAUUUUUUUUUGUUUAAACUUUCCUUAAGCAUAUUAUGUUUUUGAUGCUGUUGUAAACGGUGUUUAAAACUUUCAAUUCCUAAUUGUUUGCUGCUGAUAUAACAAUUGAUUAUUGUUGUGUACUGACAUGGUCUCCUGUCAUUUUCCUAAGCAUACUUGCUAGAUCUUUUAGUGUUUUUUGAGAUAUCUUAACCAUGUCCACAUAAUGACCAUGUUCUCUAUGAGCAAAUCAGUUUAACUGCUUUCUUUACAAUCUUUCUUUAUUUUUUCCUUUCCUGAUUAACAUUCCCCCUGUACAGUGUUGAAUAGGAGUGGAAAGACUAGACAUCUUUGCUUUUUAUCCAGUCUUAAGGGAAAGGCAUUCAACCCUUCACCAUUAAGUGUGAUGUCAGCCAAUGAGCUGUGAGCCGUAUGGAUCCCCUUUUCAAGCUGUAGAAGUUUCUACUUGUAGUUUGCUUAGAGUUCCAUUUUGUUUUGUUUUAUUAUAAUAUAGAGAAAGAGCAUUGGUUUUUGUCAAAUGCUUUUCCUGUAUCUAUUGAGAUGAACAUGUGGUUUUAAACCAAUCUUAUUACUAUGUCUUAUUUAAUCAAAAAAGGAGACAAUAAGAGUCAAUGAGAAUGCGGAGAAGGUGGAAACUUCGUGUAUUGCUGAGGGGAAUGUCCAACAGUAUAGUCACUCUGGAAAACAGUUUGUCAGUUCCUCAAAAAGUUAGACAGAGUUACCCUAUGACCCUACAAUUCUAUUCUUGGUAUAUACUCAAAAUAAAUUAAAAUAUAUGCCCACAUGAAGAGGUGUGUAAGGAUGAUGAUAGCAGUGCUAGUCAAAAAAGUGGACAACCCGUAUGUCCAUCAAACUGAUAAAUAUAUAAGCAAAAUGUGGUACAGCCGACCCAUUAGUUUGAAAUGCAUGGGUCCACUUACAAGCAGAUAUUUUUCAGUAAUGGUUGAUUAAACUGUGGUUCUGGAGGAACUGUAGGGCCAAUUAUAUGCAGACUAAUCUGUGCAUUGUUCAAAGGCCCAUUGUAUAUCCACACAAUGGAAAAAUAUUUGGCUGUAAAAAGGAAUUAAGAACUGAUACAUGGUACAACCUGGAUGAGCCUUGAAAGCAUUCUGCAAAUUGAAAGAAGCAGUCACAAAAUACCAUGUAUUACAUAACUCUAUUGGUAUAACUCUAUUUGCCCAAAUAGGCAAAUACUUAGAAAUAGCCGAUUAGUGGUUUGCAGAGACAGGGGAGAAAGAAUUGGGUCGUGAAUACUAAUGGAUACGUUAGUAUGCAUAUUUAAGGUGAUAAAAAUAUUCUAAAAUUAGAUAGUCAUGAUGGUUACACAAUCUUUGAAUAGCCUGAAUUUUUAAACACCAUUGCACUGUACACUUUAAAUGGGUGAAUUUCAUGGUAUGUGAAUUAUAUUUCAGUUCAAAAAUAAUAAAACAAAGCACAGCUACUUUACAUUCUGGGUUAGAACGUAAGCAUUCCUACUAAACAUUGCUUGGAUGUGACAUAUUAUAAUUUUUAAUUUGACAUACUAAAACGUUGUUAAAACUUUUGUGUCUAUUGUUAUAUAGUCAUAUUUUUAGCAAUGUCCUUGGUUUUAACCUCAGCAUAAUACUAUUUUCAUAAAAGCAACUGUAUUGAUAUUAUUUAUUUUUUAAAUGUAUGGUAAAAUUUACCUGUGAAACCAUUUGAACCUGGAGUUUCUUUGUGAGAGGUUUUUAACUAAAAUUCAAUUUACUUUUUAGGUACAGAUGAUCUAUUUCUUCUUGAAUGAGUUUGGCAGUUUGUAUUUUUCUAAAAUUUUCCCAUUUUGCUCGAGUGGUCAAAUUUAUAGGCAUUAAGUUGUUUAUAAUAUUUCCUUAUUUUCUAUUGUCUGAGGAUCUAGAUGAUAUUCCUAUUUGCAUUCCAUAUAUUGAUAACUUAUGUCUUUUAUUUUGAUUAAUCAAUUCUAGUAAUUCUUUUAAAAGAAACAAUCUUUUGUGCCAUUGAUUUCCUUUAUUUCACUGACUUGUGCUCUUAGCUUUAUCAUUACUUGUGUUCUGCUUACUUUGGGUUUAAUUACUUCUUUUUCUAGCUCCUCAAAAUGGAAACUUAGAUUAUUGGUUUGAGCAUUUAAAGUUAUAAAUUUCCCUCUACAUUCUACUUUAGCUCUUUCCCAUAAAUUCAAUAUAUUGUUUUAAUUUUCAUUCCGUUAAAAAUAUAUUAUAAUUUCCUUUGUGAUUUUUUCUUUGAGUAAUUUACUUUAUUUUAUUUUAGCCACACCACGUUGUGUGUGAGAUUUUGGUUCCCCAACCAGGGAUCAACCUCGCCUCCCCUGCAGUGGGAGCAUGGAGUUUUAACCACUGGACAAUGAGGGAAGUCCUUUUUGAGUAAUUUAGAAAUGUAUUGCUCAAGUAUUAAAUAUCUGGGUGGGGGGAUUCCUGGGAAUUUUUUUCUUAUUGAUUUCUAAUUUAAUUUUAUUGUGAUUGAUAAUAUACCCUGUAUGUUUUCAAUGCUUUUAAAUUUGUUGAAACUUCUUUUAAGAUCUAGAUUACAGUUGAUAUUUGUGAAUGUUCCACUGGCAUUUGAAAAGAAGGUGUAUUCUAUUAUUGUUUGAUGGGGCGUUUAAAUAGAAUGUUAGCGUUCAAGCUGUUAGUAUUGUUAGUGCUAUCUGCUUGUUCUAUCAAUUACUGGGAGAGGAUUGUUGAACUCCCCAACUACAGGCAUACAUAGUUUUAUUGCACUUUGCUUUAUUAAGCUUCAUAGACACCUGGUCUUUUACAAAUUGAAGGUUUGUGGCAACCCUGUGUUGUUAGAUGAUGAUUUGAAUUUUUAAUUUUUAAAAUUAAGAUAUGUACAUUUGCUUAGACAUAAUGCUAUUGCACACUUAAUCAACUACAGAAUAGUAUAAAGAUUACUUUUAUACACACUGAGAAGCAAAAAAAUUUGUGUGACUCACUUUAUUGUGGUGGUCUAGAACCAAACGCACAGUAUCUCUGUUCUGUUCAGUUCGGUUCAGUUCAGUCGCUCAGUCUUGUCCAACUCUUUGUGACCCCAUGAAUCACAGCACACCAGGCCUCCCUGUCCAUCACCAUUUCCCGGAGUUCACCCAAACUCACAUCCAUCAAGUCAGUGAUGCCAUCCAGCCAUCUCAUCCUCUGUCGUCCCCUUCUCCUCCUGCCCCCAAUCCCUCCUAGUAUCAGGGUCUUUUCCAAUGAGUCAACUCUUUGCAAGAGGUGGCCAAAGAAUAAGCCUGUCUAAUUAUAGGUUUGUUUCUUUUCCCCUUCCAUUUUGAUCAAUUUUUGCUUCAUGUAAUUUGAAUCUAUUUUAAAGUACACAAAUACUUAAAAUUGUUAUAUCUUCCUAAUGAAUUGACCUGAUUAAAACUGUGAAGUAUUCUUUUUUUAACCCUUGUUCUGAAUUCAAGUUUAUCAGAUAUAAAUAGAGCCAUUUCAACUACCUUUUGAUUAAUGCUUGCAUGGUAUAUCGUUUUAAUUACUAUUUUUAAAAAUUAUCUGUGUCUUUAUAUUUAUUUAUUUGUUUUGGUUUUGUUUUUUUGCGUGCAUGUGUUUAUAUUUAAAAUGGGUUUAUUAUAGGCGGCAUAUGGUUGGGCUUUUUUUUCAUUUUUAAUGUAAAAUGUAAGCAACAUAAAAUAACAUGGUAUUGUAUGGUAAAAUGUAUAUAACAUAAAAAUCUACCAUUUUAACCAUUUUUAGGUAUACAUUUCAGUAGCAGUAACCAUAUUCAUAAUGUUGAGCAAUCAUCAUCACUAUUCAUUUCCAGAAUUUUAAAAACAAAUUGAAACAGGAAUUCUAUAGUACUUGGGCUUACCUGGUGGUCCAGUGGUUAAGAAUCCACCUGCCAAUGCAGGGGACACAGGUUCAAUCCCUGGCUAGGGAAGAUUCCACAUGUCAUGGGGCAAUUAGGACAAUGCGCCAUGACUACUGAGCUCACCAGCUGCCAACUGCUGAAGCCCUCUCACCUAUAAUAGAGCCCGUGCUCUGCAACGAGAAGCCACCACAAUGAGAAGCCUGAGCAUCAUAACGAAGAGUUGCCCUCACUCAUCUCAACUAGAGAAAAUCUGCAAAGCAACAAAGACCUAGCACAGCCAAAAAUAAAUAAACUAAUUAAUUAAAUGAAACAAAUUCUGAAGUACCUAUUAAACAGUAACUUCUCACUCCCAGCAACCCUCAGCUCCUAUUUUACUUUUUGUCUUUGUGAAUUUCUCUCUUCUAGGUACUUCAUACAAGUAGAUUAUUUGUUUCUUUAUGUCCGCUUCUUUUGCUUAGCACAAUGUUUUUAUGAUUCAUCCAUACUAUAGCAUGUAUCUGAAUUUCAUUAUUUUUUAUAGCUAAAUAAUAUUCCAUGGCAUUUGUUGUUGCUAUUCAGUUGCCAAGUCAUGUUUGACUCUUUGCAACCCCAUGGACUAUAGCACGGCAGCUUCCCUGUUCCUCACCAUCUCCUGGAGUUUGCCCAAGUUCAUGUCCAUUGCAUCAGUGAUGCCAUCCAACCAUCUCAUCCUUUGUCAUCUCCUUCUCCUCCUGCCCUCAAUUUGUCCCAGCAUCAAAGUCUUUUCCAAUGAGUUGUCUAUUUGCAUUAGGUGGCCAAAGUAUUGGAGCUUCAGCAUCAGUCUUCCAAUGAGUAUUCAGGAUUGGUUUCAAGAUGGACUGGUUUGAUCUCCUUGCUGUCUAAGGGACUCUCAAGAAUCUUCUCCAACACUGCAGUUUGAAAGCAUCAGUUCUUCGGUGCUCAGUCUUCUUUAUGGUCUGGCUCUCACAUUCAUAUAUGACUACUGGAAAGACCAUAGCUUUGACUAUAUGGACUUUUGCUGGCUAAGUGACGUCUUUGCUUUUUAAUAAUUGCCACGGCAUGCAUAUACCAUAUUUUGUAUAUGUGUAUGUGGUCUUGUAGCACAGCUUGUGGGACCUCGGUUCCCUCACCAAGGAUCAAAUCUAGACCGCUGGCAGUGAGAGCAAUGAGUCCUAACCAUUGGACCAUGAGGGAAUUCCAAUAUAUCACAUUUUAAAAUAUCAGUUGGGUUUUGCAUUUCUAUUCUGUCCCACGAUCUCUGCUUUCUAUUUGGAACGUUUGGAUCAUUUAUCGUUAAUGUAAUUAUUUAAACAGUUGAGUUUAAUCUACCAUUUUCCUGUUGGUUUGCUAUUUCUUUCACUGUUCUUUCUUCCUUUUUUCCCGCUUCUUUGGGAUUCUGUUUUUCAGUAUAAAUUUUAUUUAAAAUGUCAUAUAGUUUAAGAGACAUUAUUCCUACCUUUGUUAUUUCCUAUAUUUCUG